AUGUUGAAGGGAGGAGUCAUGUCAGAUGUUGAGCUCCUUCAGUCCUCCUCAGAAGUAAAGCACAUUGGAGAGAGUGUGAAGAUGUCCUGUGUAGGAUCUGGAUAUACAUUCAGCAACUACUAUAUAAGCUGGGUUCAACAAGUCCCAGGGAGAGGACUGACAUGGAUUGGGAGGAUUUAUCCUUAUAAUGGAGCAACAGAUUAUUCCUCUUCAUAUCAGGGAAGAUUCAUCAUAACAUCUGAUAAGUCCAUAAACACUGCAUAUCUACAGAUAGACAAUGUGAAAGUGGAAGACACGGCCACUUAUUACUGUGCUAGAGACACAGUGAUCUCAGGAUGGCUCCUGUCAUACAAAAACAUCCAGUUGUGGUGCUUCCUCUUACCAGCUGCUGCAGAAUAUUUUCAGUGA